rnacentral:rRNA from 1 species
UUGCUCCUGGAUUCAGCGGCGGACGGGUGAGUAAUGCCUAGGAAUCUGCCUGGUAGUGGGGGAUAACGUCCGGAAACGGGCGCUAAUACCGCAUACGUCCUGAGGGAGAAAGUGGGGGAUCUUCGGACCUCACGCUAUCAGAUGAGCCUAGGUCGGAUUAGCUAGUUGGUGGGGUAAAGGCCUACCAAGGCGACGAUCCGUAACUGGUCUGAGAGGAUGAUCAGUCACACUGGAACUGAGACACGGUCCAGACUCCUACGGGAGGCAGCAGUGGGGAAUAUUGGACAAUGGGCGAAAGCCUGAUCCAGCCAUGCCACGUGUGUGAAGAAGGUCUUCGGAUUGUAAAGCACUU